AUCCAGCUGACGAGUCCAAAAUAGGACUAAACGCGCGUCCUGGAU
rfam:Schistosoma haematobium scaffold82_4, whole genome shotgun sequence.